rnacentral:rRNA from 1 species
AACGAACGCUGGCGGCAUGCCUAACACAUGCAAGUCGAACGAGACCUUCGGGUCUAGUGGCGCACGGGUGCGUAACGCGUGGGAACCUGCCCUUAGGUUCGGAAUAACUCCCCGAAAGGGGUGCUAUUACCGGUUAAUUCCUCCGGCCAAAAGAUUAAUCGCCUUUGGAUGGGCCCGCGUUGGAUUAGCUAGUUGGUAGGGUAAAAGCCUACCAAGGCGACGAUCCAUAGCUGGUCUGAGAGGAUGAUCAGCCACACUGGGACUGAGACACGGCCCAGACUCCUACGGGAGGCAGCAGUGGGGAAUAUUGGACAAUGGGCGAAAGCCUGAUCCAGCAAUGCCGCGUGAGUGAUGAAGGCCUUAGGGUUGUAAAGCUCUUUUACCCGGGAUGAUAAUGACAGUACCGGGAGAAUAAGCUCCGGCUAACUCCGUG